rnacentral:rRNA from 1 species
AGGAUGAACGCUGGCGGCGUGCUUAACACAUGCAAGUCGAACUAUGAAGGCUGGAGCUUGCUCUGGCUGGAUUAGUGGCGAACGGGUGAGUAACACGUGAGUAACCUGCCCCAGACCCUGGGAUAAGCGCUAGGAAACGGCGUCUAAUACCGGAUACGAGCUUCCACCGCAUGGUGAGGAGCUAGGAAAGAAUUUUC